rnacentral:rRNA from 1 species
UAGACAAGAAGACCCUAUGAAUCUUUAUUUUCUAAAAAAAUUUAAUUGGGGCGAUUAAAAAAUAUUAAAAAACUUUUUUUAAAAAAAGUUAAAUUAAAAUAAAAAUAAAAGAUACUCUAGGGAUAACAGCGUUAUUAUUUUGGAAAGUUCAUAUUGAUAAAAUAGUUUGCGACCUCGAUGUUG